rnacentral:rRNA from 1 species
CCUACGGGAGGCAGCAGUGGGGGAUAUUGCACAAUGGGGGAAACCCUGAUGCAGCGACGCCGCGUGGGUGAAGAAGCGCCUCGGCGCGUAAAGCCCUGUCAGCAGGGAAGAAAAUGACGGUAUCUGAAGAAGAAGCCCCGGCUAACUACGUGCCAGCAGCCGCGGUAAUACGUAGGGGGCAAGCGUUAUCCGGAUUUACUGGGUGUAAAGGGGGCGCAGACGGCGAUGCAAGCCAGGAGUGAAAGCCCGGGGCCCAACCCCGGGACUGCUCGUGGAACUGCGUGGCUAGAGUGCAGGAGGGGCAGGCGGAAUUCCUGGUGUAGCGGUGAAAUGCGUAGAUAUCAGGAGGAACACCGGUGGCGAAGGCGGCCUGCUGGACUGCAACUGACGGUGAGGCCCGAAAGCGUGGGGAGCAAACAUGAUUAGAUACCCUAGUAGUC